rnacentral:rRNA from 1 species
AACGUAGGACGCAAGCGUUAUCCGGAGUUACUGGGCGUAAAGCGCGGGCAGGCGGCUCGAUGCGUCUGAUGUGAAAUCUCCUCGCUCAACGGGGAGAGGCCAUUGGAAACGGUCAAGCUGGAGGGCAGUAGAGGUAGGCGGAAUUCCGGGUGGAGUGGUGAAAUGCGUAGAGAUCAGGAAGAACACCCGUGGCGCAAGCGGCCACCUGGCAGAGCACUGACGCUGAGGCACGAAAGCGUGGGUAGCGAACCGG